CUCCUCUUCUUCUUGGAGUUGCACAAUUGUUCAGUGAAUGUACAGUGAGAACAGUACUGCUAACAUAGUGAUCUCAACUGAACCUAUCCUUCCCUAGUUCCACUACAGGGCAGCUAGAAAGCUUGUGGUCAUAUAAGAAUUGAAGAAAUUUGGAAAU